rnacentral:rRNA from 1 species
UACGUAGGGUGCAAGCGUUAAUCGGAAUUACUGGGCGUAAAGCGUGCGCAGGCGGCUUUGCAAGACAGAUGUGAAAUCCCCGGGCUCAACCUGGGAACUGCAUUUGUGACUGCAAGGCUAGAGUACGGCAGAGGGGGAUGGAAUUCCGCGUGUAGCAGUAAAAUGCGUAGAUAUGCGGAGGAACACCGAUGGCGAAGGCAAUCCCCUGGGCCUGUACUGACGCUCAUGCACGAAAGCGUGGGGAGCAAACAGG